rnacentral:lncRNA from 1 species
CACUCACUUCAGACCCAAGUCAUGAAUAAUUAAAAGAAUAUAUAAUUGUACCCAGCUUUCCCCUCCAGCUCAAGCAGCAGAGAUAUCUUCUGUCCGUGUAACAGGGCACAUCGUGUGUUUUGUGGCUUUUUGCAGGAGCUGUUGGAAGUGAGCUGAACUGAAUCCAUCCUGCAUGCAGCUGAAUUCCAAACACAAGUUCUUCAUGUAGACCUGGCUUAGAACUUGGCCAGAGAUGGAAAACACAAAACACCAGAGGGGUGUGUUAGGGGAUGUGAAGUGAAAGUGCUUAAAAUGAAUCCACUACAGCAUUGUGAGCUGCACCUGAAGUGGUUCAGGAAGCCUGGGAAGAGAGAACACAGCGACACAGACUGUUGGAUCAAUAACUUAGCUCAUGAUAUGCAAAGAGUGUGAAACUCAGCUGUCAUUGCAGUGGGACAACUGAGGGCAACACAAUGGCUUUAAAGAGGAGAUGACAGAAAUAUCAGAAGUGAAGCAGAAUAUUAUACAGCACCUACCUCUUAUCCAGCUAUCUUGUGCCACCCCGUGUAAGAGCUGGGAAAUUACACAACUUUCUGACCACUGUGACCCGAGUUCGGCAUUGGAGUCCUGCAGAUGAGUUUCGUGCACUUUGAAGACACUUUUCAGUUUAUCAGCAACUGAGGCACAUUUAAAAAGUAUUGAAAUUUUUUAAUAUGAAAACUAAUUUUUUCUUAAAACGUGAUUUCUUUGUACUUAAGCUAGUUCUUCCUUUACAUUUGUAACUUUUACAUGAUAAUGUGCAUGAUACUAGUUCUUUAGGAAUGUGUUUUCAAUAUUCUAAUUAAUAUACCUUCAUAAUUGUGCUCUUUCCCGUUAUUUGCACUUUCUUUAUUUGCUGGUUGGUGGUGCUUGCUUUUUCUUUAGUGGUAUUUUUCUUUCUCAUGUUUUCCUCCAUGCAUUUUUUGCACCCUUACAUCCCUUUUUAAUUCCUUCCACACUUCUGCAUAUCAGUCACAUUAAUUCCAAGUUCAUUUAGUACCCUACAAUAAAAGAAACGUUGCUGCUAUUGUUGUGUCUGUU